rnacentral:rRNA from 1 species
UACGGAGGGGGCGAGCGUUAUUCGGAAUUAUUGGGCGUAAAGGGCGCGUAGGCGGCUUCAUAAGUCAAAGGUGAAAUCCCUCGGCUCAACUGAGGAACUGCCUUUGAAACUGUGGAGCUUGAGGCCGGGAGGGGGUAGCGGAAUUCCCAGUGUAGCGGUGAAAUUCGUAGAUAUUAGGAAGAACACCAGUGGCGAAGGCGGCUCACUGGCCCGAUACUGACGCUGAGGCACGAAAGCGUGGGGAGCAAACAGG